AGAAAUCAAAGUCACGCCAUGUGUGUUUUACAAAUCAUUAACACACUCAGAAUAAAUGCUUGAAAAUAUGAAUAGCUUAGAGAGGAAAGAGCUUUUCUGUCCUACUACUUACCUAUCUGAUAACUAGUGAGAAAAUGGCUACUUCAACCUGUAUACACAUUCAGUGUAACAUUUCUAAAACCUAUACUUUCUCUAAUAUUACCAAGCCAUGUCAGAUGAAAAUACAUGUAAUUUUUGUAGCUAUUGUUUUGUGCUAACUUUACUGAAUUUGUUCAAUCAACCAACAGUAUUACAUUAUUUAUUAAUGCCCUUGUCUCAGAGCCAAUUAAUCAUAAACAUUCCCACAGUUUGAACUGUC
rnacentral:lncRNA from 1 species